rnacentral:rRNA from 1 species
GACGAACGCUGGCGGCGUGCUUAACACAUGCAAGUCGAACGGAAAGGCCCUGCUUUUGUGGGGUGCUCGAGUGGCGAGCGGGUGAGUAACACGUUAGUAACCUUCCCUUUACUUUUGGAUAACUUCCGGAAACUGGGGCUAAUACCCGAUAGGAGCUCCUGCUGCAUGGUGGGGGUUGGAAAGUUUCGGCGGUUGGGGAUUGACUCGCGGCUUAUCAGCUUGUUGGUGGGGUAGUGGCUUACCAAGGCUUUGACGGGUAGCCGGCAUGAGAGGGUGACCGGGCACAAGAGGACUGAGAGAGGGACCAGAAUGCAAAGGGAGGCAAUGGGGGGAAGUAUUGCAGAGCGAGGGGGAGUCAGAGGUGGAAACGUCGGGAUCGGGAAAAACGGUUAUGAGGGAUAAACAGCUUUCGCAUGAGACAAAGAGGGAGUGACGGUAACGGAUAAAGAAGCACCGGCUAACUACGUG